AUAUAAAAGUGUAUAUAGAAUUUUAAAGAUGUUAGAGACUUUUACAAUUUAAGAAUUUAGUCUUAAGAAAACACCAAAUAUGUUCAUAAAGGCUCUAAUAUUGUUAAGCUUUAAAAAAUAACUAGUUGUUUAAAAAUCAAAUUCGAAGAAAGUGUUUACUUUAUGAAACUGAUUCUGUAAUAUUAUUGUAGAUACCUGCAUCAUGUUAUUUUGCACAUAGAUAUAAUUGUUUUCCGCAAUAAAAAAUCUAUUUUAUUACAUAAAAAUAAUGCGAAUAAAAUUUAUUUUCUAAUGAGGCCCCAUGAAUAAUGAAACAAUAUUCUGAAGUUCAUUAUCGUUCGUUUCUUCUAAUUUUCUAAUUUAUAUUGUAAUUAUUAUUAUAUCGUAAUUCUGAAAAGUUUCUAAAGGUUUCUGAAGGUGAAUCGAGCAGAAUCUUAUUUCAUUUCGCAUCGAUGUGCCCCUGCGGAACCCGAUAUAAUGACACAUGUUUUAUGUAAUAUGACAUUGAAACACAUCAAUCAAAACUAAUUUUCAUUCUCUCGAUUAAUCGAGUUAACUAAGUUGAAACAAUAAAUAGCCAAUUACAGCGAAUACCAUCAUUUCUCGUUAAUUGCAACUGAUAUUUAUCUAAACCAUGUUUGCUAAUAAAAUAAAAAAAAUAAAAUAUAAACAACAAGCAAUAAUUCAUGAUAUAUUCGUUGACAGCGCACAAAUAAUAAAAACAGCAAACAGUAACUAAAAAUACAUUCGUUUAUAACUUAAAGAAUACAAAUUUUCUGUUUUGAAUUCCGAGGAGUAUGUUAAUGCAAAUUACUUCGUUUACGUAAGAUGUGCAAACUUUUAUGUUUUCCAGAAUAUCCUAAAAUUGUUUGUACAGGUCACUCUAGAAUUAUUCUACGAAACAGGGGUAGAAAAGUACUCACUUCUAACAGAUCCGCCACCGUGUCAGCAUAGCUGCCAAGGUCGCGGAAUCUGGAACUUAAAUAGAACACAUAACAAAUACCCAUUCUCGCUUUGGCAGAAUGAAUUUCUCCAUAUCUUGUCAAAACACAAUAGAACUGUCGAACGGUUUGAUAAGAAAAUAGCGAUCAAAAUACCUGGAAACGCUGCGGCGAGAACAUCUACCCCGGCUGUACCCAUUGGUCUUGGUUUCUCAUCAACCAUGUACAAGGCAUCGGGAAUAUCGGCCACAUACCGUGGCCUUCGCAAUCUCACUAAAUCUGCUUCUUGGACCAUUUGUUCCUCAACUAAAGACUGUAAAAAGAUUUGUUUAUCUUAGAUUAGAAUAUAUCAGCACAAGCUAAUUUUAUUGUAUUGUGACAAUUAUUGGAAGAUAUAUAAUAAUCUGUAAGAGAAGAACUGAUGAUAAAUGAUUUGAAUAAAUCAUUUUAGUUUAA